rnacentral:rRNA from 1 species
UACGUAGGGUGCGAGCGUUAAUCGGAAUUACUGGGCGUAAAGCGUGCGCAGGCGGCGCGUUAAGACAGGUGUGAAAGCCCCGAGCUUAACUUGGGAAUUGCGCUUGUGACUGGCGUGCUGGAGUGUGGCAGAGGGAGGUGGAAUUCCACGUGUAGCAGUGAAAUGCGUAGAGAUGCGGAUGGACACCGAUGGCGAAGGCAGCCCCCUGGGCUAACACUGACGCUCAGGCACGAAAGCGUGGGGAGCAAACAGG